rnacentral:sRNA from 1 species
UUCAGAACCGUGGAACCUCUGGAGUAUUACAGGAGAUUUCUGAAAGAGAACUGCCGUCCUGAUGGAAGAGAACUUGGUGAAUUCAGAACCACAACUGUCAACAUCGGUUCAAUUAGUACCGCAGAUGGUUCUGCUUUAGUGAAGUUGGGAAAUACUACAGUAAUUUGUGGAGUUAAAGCAAUGAGUUUCAGUAACCUGUCCAGUAGCUUCUUUCAAUAGGAAACAUUUCUUUGCUACUAUAGGAAUUUGCAGCACCACCAACAGAUGCCCCUGAUAAAGGAUACGUUGUUCCUAAUGUGGAUCUACCACCCCUGUGUUCAUCGAGAUUCCGGUCUGGACCUCCUGGAGAAGAGGCCCAAGUGGCUAGCCAGUUCAUUGCAGAUGUCAUUGAAAAUUCACAGAUAAUUCAGAAAGAGGACUUAUGCAUUUCUCCAGGAAAGCUUGUCUGGGUUCUAUACUGUGAUCUCAUUUGCCUCGACUACGAUGGAAACAUUUUGGAUGCCUGCACAUUUGCUUUGUUAGCGGCUUUAAAAAAUGUUGCCUGAAGUUACUAUAAAUGAAGAAACUGCUUUAGCAGAAGUUAAUUUAAAGAAGAAAAGUUAUUUGAAUAUUAG